rnacentral:rRNA from 1 species
UCCAGACUCCUACGGGAGGCAGCAGUGGGGAAUAUUGCACAAUGGGGGAAACCCUGAUGCAGCGACGCCGCGUGAGCGAAGAAGUAUUUCGGUAUGUAAAGCUCUAUCAGCAGGGAAGAAAAAAAUGACGGUACCUGAGUAAGAAGCACCGGCUAAAUACGUGCCAGCAGCCGCGGUAAUACGUAUGGUGCAAGCGUUAUCCGGAUUUACUGGGUGUAAAGGGAGCGUAGGCGGCGCGUUAAGUCUGAUGUGAAAACCCGAGGCUCAACCACGGGAGUGCAUUGGAAACUGGCGGGCUGGAGUGCCGGAGAGGUAAGCGGAAUUCCUAGUGUAGCGGUGAAAUGCGUAGAUAUUAGGAGGAACACCAGUGGCGAAGGCGGCUUACUGGACGGCAACUGACGCUGAGGCUCGAAAGCGUGGGGAGCAAACAGGAUUAAAUACCCCAGUAGGC